rnacentral:rRNA from 1 species
GAUGAACGCUGGCGGCGUGCCUAAUACAUGCAAGUCGAGCGAACGGACGAUAAGCUUGCGUCUCUGAUGUUAGCGGCGGACGGGUGAGUAACACGUGGAUAACCUACCUAUAAGACUGGGAUAACUUCGGGAAACCGGAGCUAAUACCGCAUAAUCUUUUGAACCGCAUGGUUCAAUAGUGAAAGACGGUUUUGCUGUCACUUAUAGAUGUAUCCGCGCUGCAUUAGCUAGUUGGUAAGGUAAAGGCUUACCAAGGCAACGAUGCAUAGCCGACCUGAGAGGGUGAUCGGCCACACUGGAACUGAGACACGGUCCAGACUCCUACGGGAGGCAGCAGUAGGGAAUCUUCCACAAUGGGCGAAAGCCUGACGGAGCAACGCCGCGUGAGUGAUGAAGGUCUUCGGAUCGUAAAACCCUGUUAUUAGGGAAGAACAUAUGUGUAAGUAACUGUGCACGUCUUGACGGUACCUAAUCAGAAAGCCACGGCUAACUACGUG